AGAGUUUGAUCAUGGCUCAGGAUGAACGCUGGCGGCGUGCUUAACACAUGCAAGUCGAACGGAGAUAAGCGGGGAAGAGGCUUCGGCGGAUUCCCUGCGUAUCUUAGUGGCGGACGGGUGAGUAACGCGUGGGUAACCUGCCUUGUACAGGGGGACAACAGUUAGAAAUGACUGCUAAUACCGCAUAAGCGCACAGCUUCGCAUGAAGGAGUGUGAAAAACUUCGGUGGUACAAGAUGGACCCGCGUCUGAUUAGCUGGUUGGCGGGGUAACGGCCCACCAAGGCAACGAUCAGUAGCCGGCCUGAGAGGGUGGACGGCCACAUUGGGACUGAGACACGGCCCAAACUCCUACGGGAGGCAGCAGUGGGGAAUAUUGCACAAUGGGGGGAACCCUGAUGCAGCGACGCCGCGUGAGUGAAGAAGUAUUUCGGUAUGUAAAGCUCUAUCAGCAGGGAAGAAAAUGACGGUACCUGACUAAGAAGCCCCGGCUAACUACGUGCCAGCAGCCGCGGUAAUACGUAGGGGGCAAGCGUUAUCCGGAUUUACUGGGUGUAAAGGGAGCGUAGACGGUUGUGCAAGUCUGAAGUGAAAUGCCGGGGCUUAACCCCGGAACUGCUUUGGAAACUGUAAAACUGGAGUGCAGGAGAGGUAAGUGGAAUUCCUAGUGUAGCGGUGAAAUGCGUAGAUAUUAGGAGGAACACCAGUGGCGAAGGCGGCUUACUGGACUGUAACUGACGUUGAGGCUCGAAAGCGUGGGGAGCAAACAGGAUUAGAUACCCUGGUAGUCCACGCCGUAAAC
rnacentral:rRNA from 1 species